rnacentral:lncRNA from 1 species
AGGAGACUCAUAUUUAAGUGAAGGAGAAACAGGAAGGGCCCUCUUUUCCUCUCUGCUCCUGCUCCAGCGGCACGAUGUGAUCCACUGGCGAGGAGGGAAGCCAAUAAGGUGCCCGCUUGAGCCUGGAGAAGUAGUAUGAGCACUGAUGUCCCAGGAGUUUGGAGGUAUGGCGUGCCAAAUUGAGGGAUGAUGUGUUCCAGGAGUACCUGAGUCAUCUUAUGUGCUCUUUCCCUGGGGGUGGUGAGUACCUCUAUCCUGUAGAAGUCAAUAAGAGUUUAGAUAAUGGAAGGUUUUUUUUUUUUUUUUUUAUGACUGGGCAUGUGAGUGUAGUCAACCUGCCAGUUCUUGUAUGGUUGGUAUCUUUGGAGCUGGUGCAGGGGCUGAUGUAUCUGGAGAGCUCCCAGUGGGUUGGCCUUGGCACGUGUCUGGCAGGAGGAGUAGACCUCUAAAAUAUAGGCUCAAAGAUGGGUGGGGUCAAAGAUGGCCUCUAGAUACUGAUAUUUCCAUUAGGCUAGAUUUCUUGAUACAGUAGAAGAACUCUUUCCCUAGGAACAUGCAGGUGACUGUAAAACAGCUGAAACAGAUUUACAUCUUGGUGUCAUAGCAAAAGGCUAUGGCUUUGGGUUAAAAGGUAUGAACAUUUUUAGAAGACUACCACAGGAAAUUUACUGAAUGAAAGAGGUUGAGUGAGCUGAGGAGGAACAGAGCUGAGCUCACCUGCAGGCUUCCAGGCUCUCUCUAAUGCUAACCUGUUCGGGGAGGAGGAGUUGGCAUUUCAGCAGUUUUGCCAUUGUGGCUGGAGAUAAUAUAGCAAUGCUGAAAGGCCUCCGUGCAGUCCUGUUAGUGUUAUAAAGAACCUAAAAGCUUGGACCUGUAAAAUCCACACAAAUUUACGAACUUAGUCAGUGCUAUAACAGUUUAUCAAAACUGCAUUUAUCAAUGCUAAAACUCUGAAGCCUGUUUAUCCUUUACUAUGAAGUCUGUGAACAAGGCAAACCUGUAUGUAUUUUAACUAAUGUUAAAUGUUAUUUUAACUUAUUGUUAAACUUAUUAUGUAUUUUAACUAAAUGUUAAAGUAGUUGUAGCCAUGGGGGGCUUGGGAAGAGCUGUUAAACUGGUAAAUCUGUCAGUAUCCUAGUCAUUAAACACCAUCAGAUCUGUGUAGGGAGAUCUUACUGCUACCUGUAGUGCUGACCCCAAGCUCAUUUGGGCAUGGUCACGGGUGCAUGUGUGAGCAUGUGGGAUUUUCGUUUGGGGUCAGGGACAGACUUGUUCUUUCUGGGUUCCGGUCGGGUCACAGAGGGCAGUUGAUCUUGGAUGCUUAGAGUAUUGAUUCUGGGUAAUUGGUUUCUCAUGUAAGUGAUUCCUUCCCAAUAAAAUUAACCUACAUCAUCCCAAUCCCAUGUAUCUUGAUUUGUACUACCACAGAUCUGAGAAGGAUAAAUUUCACCUGAGUAAGCAGAAGGGAGACAGCUACCCAAGGUUUCUCUGGUGGUGGGUGGGGACAGAGGUUCCAGGGCAAUAUGAAUCUUCAGCUGCUAGUCCCAGAAGAUCUGACAGACUUUUUUGUGGUGUAGGAAUUUGGGGAGACUGGCCUACCUUUUCUUGGCAAAGUAGGGCAAUCAAUUUCUCAGGUCCCUGCUUGUUCACAGUCUGGACAGGGGCUUGGUAAGAGUUAAGGUGCAAAGCAGUUUUUUUGCUCUGUUUCCGGCUUUGCUACAUUUAAAGCAAGCUCCAGGUGGAGGUUCAUUUUUGUCUGUCCAUCUUCCUUGGAGGAGAUAUGGAUGCUGCCAGGAGCUGGUGUGUCUCUAUCAUGAGAAGCCUUUUUGUUUGUUGUUUGGGGGCAGGGAGGAAGUAGGGCUGAGGUGGAGUUUCCAGCAAACAAUGUCAUGAAAGAACUCCUUUGCAUUGUGUCUGGGUUGGAAGGUAGGUUGGCUGAGUCUUGUGUCAGACUCUCACAUAAGACUGCAACAAAAAUAUAGGCUGGGUGUUAUGCAGUGUGUCCACGAUAGCUGCUAUUGUAGCCAUCACUAGAGCAAAAGCUCUGUUCUAAGGUCUCCUGGAUUAAGAUGGGAGUCUGGGUUGCCAAUAGGGUGAGGUCUCUGAAGCUUGCAAAGACCUCAGUCCCUUGUCAGAUUUUAGCAAGACUGCUCACAGUGAGUAAGGUACCCAAGUGAAAUACAAGCAAGAAAGGUCACAGUUCUUUGCUUUGCCACAGUGGAAGUGACAUCAUUUCAUUUUUGUUUUUGUUUGUAUUUUCUGGAAGAAUUCAUUAAGACUAGCCCAGUCAAGAGGAAGGAGUCAUAGGAAGGCAUGAACACCAGGAGGCAGGCAUCUCUGGGACCUCUCAGCAGUUGGAUGCCACACAUUCUCUUCCUGCAGAUUAUUAUGUCAGAGACAGGAGCCCAUUAUAAUGAUUUUAAAAUGAAUACGGCUAAUAACCUAGGAAAUGCAGACACUCCUGCAGUGUUGCAAACCCUCUGUAAAUGAAAAAUGGAGUUCUUUGCUUUCAAUACAAGAGUUAUUUCAAGUGAAUCACUCAUGAUUUCAUUUAUAACAAUAAAAAGGCAGCCACAUAAUAGCCCCUGUGUGUCUACUGUGGUCUCUAACAUAGCCCUCUCCUUGAGUAACCUACUUUUGAACAAGCCCCCGUGAAUAAGGGAAGUGAGGUCCCCUGAUACAUGGUUUUCAAAGUAUAUUUACACUCCAUUUGGGUCAACAAUCUUGAUAUUUGGCAGAGGUCUCUGAGCAUAUGAUGGAAAUAUUUUAUCUCACAUUUGUGCUGACUCUCUAGUGUUGAUAUUUCAACUUACAGGAUAGGGAUUUAAUGAGGUCAGGGUUGGGGAGAGCAACAGGAAGGAAUGGGGAGAGUAAAGAAAGUCCAUUAAGCCUCAAGACUUACAAUAAUUUAAUUCUUUUUGAAAAGAGAUUCUAGCAACAUACCUGAGAAUUUGGGAUUCGCUGAUAUAUAUAUUCUGAUAUAUAUAUAUAUAUAUAUCAGAAUAGUUAAAGCAGGACAGGAAGACUCACAUUUAACUUAUGCUUUAAUGACAGAAUGAGGAAAAAGUUGUUUGCCUGUCUUUUGGGCUUGAGUGUGAAGGGCAUACCAUUUUAUUUUGGGAACAGUAAAGUGUACAAAUUUCUGUCUUGUCCCAUAGCAUGAGCUAAGCUAUUAACUUCAAACUAUUGGAGACCCUUUAGAUAGGAAGAAAAGGAGCCAACACCUUUGGCUUGUAAUUUUUUAGAAAUAA